rnacentral:rRNA from 1 species
GCCUACGGGGCGCAGCAGUGGGGAAUAUUGCACAAUGGGGGAAACCCUGAUGCAGCGACGCCGCGUGAGUGAAGAAGUAUUUCGGUAUGUAAAGCUCUAUCAGCAGGGAAGAAAAUGACGGUACCUGACUAAGAAGCCCCGGCUAACUACGUGCCAGCAGCCGCGGUAAUACGUAGGGGGCAAGCGUUAUCCGGAUUUACUGGGUGUAAAGGGAGCGUAGGCGGAAAGGUAAGCCAGAAGUGAAAGCCCGCGG